GACGAACGCUGGCGGCGUGCUUAACACAUGCAAGUCGAACGGAAAGGCCCUGCUUUUGUGGGGUGCUCGAGUGGCGAACGGGUGAGUAACACGUGAGUAACCUGCCCUUGACUUUGGGAUAACUUCAGGAAACUGGGGCUAAUACCGGAUAGGAGCUCCUGCUGCAUGGUGGGGGUUGGAAAGUUUCGGCGGUUGGGGAUGGACUCGCGGCUUAUCGGCUUGUUGGUGGGGUAGUGGCUUACCAAGGCUUUGACGGGUAGCCGGCCUGAGAGGGUGACCGGCCACAGUGGGACUGAGAUACGGCCCAGACUCCUACGGGAGGCAGCAGUGGGGAAUAUUGCACAAUGGGCGGAAGCCUGAUGCAGCAACGCCGCGUGCGGGAUGACGGCCUUCGGGUUGUAAACCGCUUUCGCCUGUGACGAAGCGUGAGUGACGGUAAUGGGUAAAGAAGCACCGGCUAACUACGUG
rnacentral:rRNA from 1 species